CCUGGUUCAAGACCAGCAAACAUGGACCCAUCAAAGUGUCUGAAGGAGACUUUUACAGCUUUAUUGUCACUGAUGGAGGAGUUUAUUACUGUGUGGCCACAAAUGAUCUUGGUAAUGAAACAUCAUCGGAGAUCGAGCUGAUUGCUGAAGCCAAUCCAGAGUUUGGGGUUGAUGUUCACAUCACAGUGCAGAUCCUGGGAAUCGUAGCACUCUACAGCACAAUCAUCAUCUUUGAGUGGUGGUUUAGAUCAAGAUGCUGCAACAAACCAGUGAAGGACACAGCUGAAGCAGACUACGUCAACUGUGUGAUUGAGAUUCAAGCAUUGUGAAGGAGAAGAGGAAAAUGUCUUGUUUACCUUUUAUGGAAUAUUUCUGUUUCUUAUUCACCUCAUUCUUAAAUAUUAAAUAUUUUUCUUUGCAGCAGAUCAGGGAGAUGAUCAAAAUUUGGAGUGCGAACAAGACAGAAGAUAAUAUACUGUAGCUUCAUUAUUAAUUGUUUAAGAUUGCACUAUUUUUUUCUUUGAUUAAACUGUGUUUUCAUUGCAUGCAUGAAUAUAUUUUUCAAACAGAAGUUUAAAUAGUUAAAGCCAGAUUUUUCUUGUGAUGAGGAAGCAGAAAGUGUGGAUAUUUAUCUUUUAUUGUUACAGUUGUCUUUGUAUAUACAUGUGUAGAUGACUGUUCUCUCCUCAGUGCUGUAUUGCAGAGCAGCAGUGAUACAGACUGUGCACAAGUCAGU